rnacentral:rRNA from 1 species
GACGAACGCUGGCGGCGUGCUUAACACAUGCAAGUCGAACGGUAAGGCCCUUCGGGGUACACGAGUGGCGAACUGGUGAGUAACACGUGGGUGAUCUGCCCUGCACUUCGGGAUAAGCCUGGGAAACUGGGUCUAAUACCGGAUAGGACUCCGGACUGCAUGGGCUGGGGUGGAAAGCUUUUGCGGUGUGGGAUGGGCCCGCGGCCUAUCAGCUUGUUGGUGGGGUGAUGGCUUACCAAGGCGACGACGGGUAGCCGGCCUGAGAGGGUGACCGGCCACACUGGGACUGAGAUACGGCCCAGACUCCUACGGGAGGCAGCAGUGGGGAAUAUUGCACAAUGGGCGCAAGCCUGAUGCAGCGACGCCGCGUGAGGGAUGACGGCCUUCGGGUUGUAAACCUCUUUCAGCAUCGACGAAGCGAAAGUGACGGUAGGUGCAGAAGAAGGACCGGCCAACUACGUGCCAGCCGCCGCGGUAA